AGUUGAAGUCUGUGGUUCAAAAAUCAGAAUUUUUAGAAUUCUUACCUGUUGAAUGUUGUAAGACUAGGCCAUUAAAUGCAGAUAGUUUGUCCCAGGGAAGUCUUUCCAAUGUGGAGCUCCCAGCUUUUGAUAACCAGAAUGGUUCUGUGAAUUUCUCAAUUCUGAAAAACUCUGAAAUCUUGAAGGAAAAUUAUCAUAAUAAAGCACUGGAUGCUGGAAAAGCAGAACAAAAACUGGAUCUUAUUUCCAACGAGACUUACAAAAAGACUCUGACACCUUGUUGUGGGACAAAGGUUUUGCAUGAUCUGACAAAUACCAGUAUACCCUCUCGUACUUCUUUACCUAAAUUCCCCAAAACUUCAGAGGGAAACUCAGUAGCACAAUCUAGACGAGAAAGAGCCACUAUUUGCUACAAAGAACCCAGUCUACAGAGCAAAUUAAGGCGUGGGGAUAAGUUUACAGAUAUGCAGUUUCUGGAUUCCCCAAUCUAUAAAGGAAAAAAUAAAAGAAGCUUUAAAAGUAAAUAAAAAUAUAUUUGAAGAAGACAAGAGAAUUUCCUGCAUAAACAAUACUUCUAAAAUGGGUACAAUUUUUAAAAUAUAUAUGUAUGUUUCAAUUACAGAGUGCUUAUUGUUCUUAAAGUAGUAAAGGUCUUCCAAAGUGGAAUUUCCUGGAAAGGAACCCCUGUAGAAGGGACACAGAAUACUUUACUGAGGAAGGCAAAUACAAGUUAGGCUCCACUCUCAUGUUCUGCUUUUCUCGUCAGUAAUUUAUAAUCUGUUGAAAGGGUUUGCUGCACUUCUUAAUUUGUAAGAAAAGUAUAUGUUUUCAUGAAAAUUUAAAAUAAAGCAUAUUUGCGAAUUUUAAUGUGAGUUCUUCAUAUUUGCCAUCAGUAGGACCAUUUCUCCGUGCAGGCUGGAGCAGACACAAGCAUCCCAAAUUUUAAUAAAUUUGCUGAAACAGGUGGAGACAAUCCCCUUGUUUUUGAUAAUCAACUUUUGGUUUGACAGAAUCAUACAGAAAUUUGAAUGAGGAAGUCUCAUUUUGAGGAACAGCAAAGAGAAGUCUAGUGUCCAGAGGAUGUGCCAGAGGCAGCUGGACAGAAAACAGCACUGCCAUAGGAAUUCAGUAGUAAAUAGGAUGCAGGCAA